rnacentral:misc_RNA from 1 species
GGACAGACUAGUGGUCUCAUUCAGGUUUGUGGAUUUACAUGCUAUGAUAUUUCUACUACAUUAUUGUGUGGCUAUGAUUUCCUAGAACAAGAACCAGAACCUGAUCAAGAUUAAACAACCAAAAAGUGGAGUCUGAUUAACAUGUAAAUUUUGAUACUGAUGAGGCCAUGUGGUGGUUAUAGUUCCUUUUCUCUACAAAAUCAACUUAUUAUAGCUAAUCACUUAGCCAUGUGUAGAAAUGUAACACAUUGCCUAACUAAUCAUCUAUCGGUUCCCACCUAUACUACAACAGAAAGCUUAACAACUCCGGAAUAUUAAUCUUCCUUCACCUUUUAUUCUUUGUUGCCAAACUUAUCUCCCCUCGAGAAGUUACUUGUCCUCAAGUAACUCUAAAGAAUGCAGACAUGGCUCGCUGAUGUUUUCCCAUGCUUAGCUUCUUUGUUGAUUGGAAGCAUAUUUUCUUCCUUUGUCUUUUCCCAAUUUCAUGCUCAUUGUCCUUGAGAUUCCAGCACUCUCUUUUACAUGCAUCAGCUAAAUCUAGUAAAUAACAAACAUUUUCAGCAU